AUUGAACGCUGGCGGCAUGCCUUACACAUGCAAGUCGAACGGCAGCACGGGUGCUUGCACCUGGUGGCGAGUGGCGAACGGGUGAGUAAUACAUCGGAACAUGUCCUGUAGUGGGGGAUAGCCCGGCGAAAGCCGGAUUAAUACCGCAUACGAUCUACGGAUGAAAGCGGGGGACCUUCGGGCCUCGCGCUAUAGGGUUGGCCGAUGGCUGAUUAGCUAGUUGGUGGGGUAAAGGCCUACCAAGGCGACGACUAGUAGCUGGUCUGAGAGGACGACCAGCCACACUGGGACUGAGACACGGCCCAGACUCCUACGGGAGGCAGCAGUGGGGAAUUUUGGACAAUGGGCGAAAGCCUGAUCCAGCAAUGCCGCGUGUGUGGAGAAGGCCUUCGGGUUGUAAAGCACUUUUGUCCGGAAAGAAAUCCUUGGCCCUAAUACGGUCGGGGGAUGACGGUACCGGAAGAAUAAGCACCGGCUAACUACGUG
rnacentral:rRNA from 1 species